rnacentral:rRNA from 1 species
CCUACGGGAGGCAGCAGUGGGGAAUAUUGCACAAUGGGGGAAACCCUGAUGCAGCGACGCCGCGUGAGUGAAGAAGUAUCUCGGUACGUAAAGCUCUAUCAGCAGGGAAGAAAAUGACGGUACCUGACUAAGAAGCCCCGGCUAACUACGUGCCAGCAGCCGCGGUAAUACGUAGGGGGCAAGCGUUAUCCGGAUUGACUGGGUGUAAAGGGAGCGUAGACGGCAGCAAAAGUCUGGAGUGAAAUCCCGGGGCUUAACCCCGGAACUGCGUUGGAAACUGGGCGGCUGGAGUGCAGGAGGGGUAAGCGGAAUUCCUAGUGUAGCGGUGAAAUGCGUAGAGAUUAGGAGGAACACCGGUGGCGAAGGCGGCUUACUGGACUGUAACUGACGUUGAGGCUCGAAAGCGUGGGGAGCAAACAGGAUUAGAUACCCGUGUAGAC